AGUGGCGGACGGGUGAGUAACGCGUGAGAAUCUGCCUUGGGGUCGGGGACAACCACUGGAAACGGUGGCUAAUACCGGAUAAGCCGAUUGGUGAAAGAUUUAUUACCCGAAGAGGAGCUCGCGUCUGAUUAGCUAGUUGGUGAGGUAAGAGCUCACCAAGGCAGCGAUCAGUAGCUGGUCUGAGAGGACGAUCAGCCACACUGGGACUGAGACACGGCCCAGACUCCUACGGGAGGCAGCAGUGGGGAAUUUUCCGCAAUGGGCGAAAGCCUGACGGAGCAAGACCGCGUGAGGGAGGAAGGCUCUUGGGUUGUAAACCUCUUUUCUCAGGGAAGAAGCUCUGACGGUACCUGAGGAAUCAGCCUCGGCUAACUCCGUGCCAGCAGCCGCGGUAAUACGGAGGAGGCAAGCGUUAUCCGGAAUUAUUGGGCGUAAAGCGUCCGCAGGUGGCGAUUCAAGUCUGCUGUCAAAGCACGGGGCUUAACUCCGUAAAGGCAGUGGAAACUGAAUAGCUAGAGUGCCGUAGGGGUAGAGGGAAUUCCCGGUGUAGCGGUGAAAUGCGUAGAGAUCGGGAAGAACAUCGGUGGCGAAAGCGCUCUACUGGACGGCAACUGACACUCAGGGACGAAAGCUAGGGGAGCGAAUGGGAUUAGAUACCCC
rnacentral:rRNA from 1 species